CCAGGGUUCCCUUCGGCUGCAAAGAAAAAACACUGAGCUAUCGUGACAUGUUUUAUGUCUUCUUUAAAAAACAUGUCUGGCCAUGGAGAAAUAUUAUCUUGCUUGGAAACAUGUAGAAUGGUAACAGGAAGGACAUCUGCCCAUACCUCAACAAAUGCAUGGAAAACUGCACAUUAAAUGAUGAUGAUGAUGCCCCAGUUUGCUUGAACUUCAGUGGAUAAUGAACGAUUUUGUAGAGUCGGCGUGAGAGGCCUUAUCUGGCUUGUUUUGAACAUAAAACUGGUAGUUUAAAUGCGGAAGACCUGAGUUGUUAUUACUUUGGCAGAAUCAUUAAAGCAUCAUAAAAAUA